UAAUACGGAGGGGGCGAGCGUUGUCCGAAUUUAUUGGGCGUAAAGCGCGUGUAGGCGGAUGGACAAGCCUGAGGUGAAAGGUUGGGGCUCAACCCCAUACAGUGCCUUGGGGACUGUUCGUCUGGAGGCCGGCAGAGGAGAGUGGAAUUCCUGGUGUAGCGGUGGAAUGCGUAGAGAUCAGGAAGAACACCCAUGGCGAAGGCAGCUCUCUGGGCCGGUACUGACGCUGAGACGCGAAAGCGCGGGGAGCGAACGGGAUUAGAUACCCCGGUAGUCCGCGCCGUAAACGAUGGAUGCUCGGUGUUGGGGGUAUCGACCCCCUCAGCGCCUUAGUUAACACGGUAAGCAUCCCGCCUGGGGAGUACGGCCGCAAGGUUG
rnacentral:rRNA from 1 species